UGAAUGAAGGACAUCUUCAGCUGUAAUUAAUAUACGUACAGGGGAUUCUAUGGGGACAACUAUUCGAUUAUCCGUGUCAAGAAGUCGAAAUUGGCCUGGUAUUAGGUCUUGAGUCGGUAUUAUAUAUGAAUCAAAAUUUAGUGUACUAUAGUCAGUAUAUUCAUAACUUCAGUAUCAUUGAUGUCCUGUAGCUUUAAUAGUCAAAUGAGGAUCAUUAAUUUCAUCUAUUAGGUAGAGAAUUCGAAGUGAUGGUAAGGCAAUUGUAAUUAAUACCAGGGCCGGUAUAACUGUUCAAACCAUUUCAAUCUCUUGAGCAUCAAGUAAGUGUUUAUUAGUUAGUUUUGUUGAAACUGUUGUCGUGAUAAUAUAUAAUACAAGUGUACUAAUAAGAAAUACAAUUAUUAAUGCGUGGUCAUGGAAGUGUAUAAGUUCUUCUAUAAUUGGGGAGGAUGCGUCUUGUAGUCCUAGUUGUGCUGGGUGGGCCAUAGGCAAGAUAUAUGGGGUUUUAACCCAUAAUUCUGUCUUGACAAGGCAGUGUUAUAUAUUAACUAAUAUCUUAUA
rnacentral:tRNA from 1 species